rnacentral:rRNA from 1 species
AUUGAACGCUGGCGGCAGGCCUAACACAUGCAAGUCGAGCGGAUGAAGGGAGCUUGCUCCUGGAUUCAGCGGCGGACGGGUGAGUAAUGCCUAGGAAUCUGCCUGGUAGUGGGGGAUAACGUCCGGAAACGGGCGCUAAUACCGCAUACGUCCUGAGGGAGAAAGUGGGGGAUCUUCGGACCUCACGCUAUCAGAUGAGCCUAGGUCGGAUUAGCUAGUUGGUGGGGUAAAGGCCUACCAAGGCGACGAUCCGUAACUGGUCUGAGAGGAUGAUCAGUCACACUGGACUUGAAACCCGGACCAGCCCCCUCCGGGAGCCACCGUGGGGAAAUUUUGAACAAUGGGCAAAACCUUACUCCACCCAUGCGCCUGGUGUAAAGAAGUUUUUCUAUUUGUAAAACUUUUUAAGUUGGAAGAAAGAGAAGUAAUUUAAUACCUUGUUGUUUUGAGCUUCCCAAAAAAAAAGACCCCGACUAACUUCGUC